AUCUUACGCCCGUUGCCCUGAGUACGUUAGCGGAAAUGGCUCUGAGAGGCUUUGACGCAUGUGUACCUUCUUAGUGGUGGUAUGUGGGCCGGAGACUUUCGUGCUACAGUGGAGGUGGCUAUGCUUCCCGCAUCUCUCUUGAGAGGCACAGAAGGUCAGAGAUGCGUGCGAGGAACGGCCAGGUCCAGUGUCUCCUCGUUGCUGUCCCUUCAUCCCGGGACCGGCGCCAAUGUGCGCGCGCGUUCUUUCGUCCCACGGACCUGCCUUGGUGUAGCCUCCCCGGGCCGUAGCUUCCGAAGGCUACAGCCGACCUGGUCGGGAUUCUCCAGCCCGCUUUCCCCUUUCCCGAUUGACAGAUGGAGAAACUGAGGCCCAGGCCAAAAAAUAUCACACUAGAGGGCUCACGGCCAGUUCCUGGGAAAGUUGGGGCUGGGACUCUACAUACGCUCGGCCAGCAACAGCGCGGAGCUCCGAAGUAAAGGCGCCCGUGAUCGAGUGCCUUGUCCUUAAAAGCGUGGUGUCCUUGAAUGCUCCCAGGCGCCUUAUGAGGUCCCCGAUGUGCAGUCUGUGCUUAAACUAAACCCCACGCUCUGCCAGGGUCGGGUUGGCCAUCCGCAGGCUUAGUUGCUAGGGAGGUUUGACAGAUGCCCGCCUGUUGAUUCAAAUGUUCCCAGGAUUUGGAGCAAGAAGAGCAAGGAAGGCCGGGCGCGGUGGCUCACCCUUGUAAUCCCAGCACUUUGGGAGGCGGAGGCAGGCGGAUCACGACGUCAGGAGAUCAAGACCGUCCUGGCUAACACGGUGAAACCCUGUCUCUACUGAAAACACAAAAAAUUAGCCGGGCGUGGUGGCGGGCGCCAUUAGUCCGAGCUACCCGGGAGGCUGAGGCAGCAGAAUGGCGUGAACCAGGGACGCGGAGCUUGCAGUGGGUGCACUCCAGCCUGGGCAACAGAGCGAGACUCUGUCUGAAAAAAAAAAGAAAAGCAAGGAGGUGUUGAAAGUGGGUUUCCUGGCUGGGCGUGGUGGCUCACGCUUGUAAUCCCAGCACUUUGGGAGGCGGAGGUGGGCGGAUCACUUGAGGUCAGAAGUUCAAGACCAGCCUGGCCAACAUUGUGAAACACCGUCUCCACUAAAAAUACGAAAAUUAACUGAGUGUGGUGGCAGGCGCCUGUAAUCCCAGCUAAUUGGGAGGGUGAGGCAGGAGAAUCGCUUGAACCCAGGAGGCAGAGGUUGCAGUGAGCUGAGAUUGUACCAUUGCACUCCAGCCUGGGCAAUAGAGUGAGACUCGGCCUCAAAAAAAAAAAAAAUUAGCCCGGUGUGGUGGUGUGCGCCUACAGUCCUAGCUACUCAGGAGGCAGAGGCACAAGAAUGGCUUGAAUCACUUUGAACCUGGGAGGCAGAGGUUACAGUGAGCUGAGAUGGCACCACUGCACUCCAGCCUGGGCAAUAGAGCGAGACUCCAACUCCCUAUCUCCAAAAAAAAAAAAAAAACUGAAGUGUAAAGAUGUGAUUAUGUGGCAAGGCAAGGGUUAAAAAGAAAAGCAGAACAAGUUUUCCUCUGCUUAGCCAGCUCACAUCAGUAAAGGCAUAGCACUGAAAAGUCGAGGCCAAAGGAAUGGGCUCCAGACACCCUCCUCCGGAGCAAAGUUGAAAAGAAAAACAAAUUCCUUUACUGUCUCUCCUUCUCUGAACCAUUAGUUAUGACUGUGUUUGCCAAUGCUUGUAUUUAGUAAGAUUUGUAGAUUCUGUUUUCCUUUCGAUGCAGCUGCAAGGCCAACAGCUGUGCAAAGCCACAAGUUAUGAUAAGUCAACAGUUAUGCUGUAGAUUACAUGACCUGUCACUGUAUCAUUAACUGCUUUUGUUUUGCUUGUGUAAGUUUGCCUAUAAAAACCACACUCAGUUUUUGUUCAAUGCUCAGCUUUUCAGACAUGAAUCCACUGAGCUGGUGUACACCUAAAUAAAUCCUCCUGUUUCCCA